UGAGGUUAGUUCUGGCUAUGGGUUGGUGUAAAAGACCGGUUGCGUGGCGGGGAAUUCUGCGCGUUUUUAUAAAA